AUUGAACGCUGGCGGCAGGCCUAACACAUGCAAGUCGAGCGGAGCGGCGGACGGGUGAGUAAUGCCUAGGAAUCUGCCUGGUAGUGGGGGAUAACGUCCGGAAACGGGCGCUAAUACCGCAUACUAUCAGAUGAGCCUAGAUCGGAUUAGCUAGUUGGUGGGGUAAAGGCCUACCAAGGGGACGAGCCGUAACUGUGCUGAGAUGAUGAUCAGUCACACUGGAACGUGGACGCGUGCCUGUCUCCUACGGCAGGCAGCAGUUGGGAUCAUUGGACAAUGGUCGAGAGCCUGUUCCAGCCAUGCAGCGUGUGUGAAGAAGGUCUUCGGAUUGUAAAGCACUUUAAGUUGGGAGGCGUUACCAACAGAAUAAGCACCGGCUAACUUCGUGCCAGCAGCCGCGGUAAUUC
rnacentral:rRNA from 1 species